rnacentral:rRNA from 1 species
UACAGAGGGUGCGAGCGUUGUCCGGAAUCACUGGGCGUAAAGGGCGCGUAGGUGGCGGGCCAAGUCCAUGGUGAAAGCUCGAUGCUCAACAUCGAGUCGGCCACGGAUACUGGUUCGCUCGAGCACUGUAGAGGCUAAUGGAAUUCCGGGUGUAGCGGUGGAAUGCGUAGAGAUCCGGAAGAACACCGAUGGCGAAGGCACUUUACUGGGCUAUUACUAACACUCAGAGACGAAAGCUAGGGUAGCAAAUGGG